rnacentral:rRNA from 1 species
GACGAGCGCGGGCGGCGUGCCUAAUACAUGCAAGUAGAACGCUGAGAACUGGUGCUUGCACCGGUUCAAGGAGUUGCGAACGGGUGAGUAACGCGUAGGUAACCUACCUCAUAGCGGGGGAUAACUAUUGGAAACGAUAGCUAAUACCGCAUAAGAGAGACUAACGCAUGUUAGUAAUUUAAAAGGGGCAAUUGCUCCACUAUGAGAUGGACCUGCGUUGUAUUAGCUAGUUGGUGAGGUAAAGGCUCACCAAGGCGACGAUACAUAGCCGACCUGAGAGGGUGAUCGGCCACACUGGGACUGAGACACUGCCCAGACUCCUACGGGAGGCAGCAGUAGGGAAUCUUCGGCAAUGGGGGCAACCCUGACCGAGCAACGCCGCGUGAGUGAAGAAGGUUUUCGGAUCGUAAAGCUCUGUUGUUAGAGAAGAAUGAUGGUAGGAGUGGCAAAUCCACCAAGUGACGGUAACUAACCAGAAAGGGACGGCUAACUACGUGCCAGCAGCCGCGGUAAUACGUAGGUCCCGAGCGUUGUCCGGAUUUAUUGGGCGUAAAGCGAGCGCAGGCGGUUUUUUAAGUCUGAAGUUAAAGGCAUUGGCUCAACCAAUGUACGCUUUGGAAACUGGAGAACUUGAGUGCAGAAGGGGAGAGUGGAAUUCCAUGUGUAGCGGUGAAAUGCGUAGAUAUAUGGAGGAACACCGGUGGCGAAAGCGGCUCUCUGGUCUGUAACUGACGCUGAGGCUCGAAAGCGUGGGGAGCAAACAGGAUUAGAUACCCUGGUAGUCCACGCCGUAAACGAUGAGUGCUAGGUGUUAGGCCCUUUCCGGGGCUUAGUGCCGGAGCUAACGCAUUAAGCACUCCGCCUGGGGAGUACGACCGCAAGGUUG